GAUGAACGCUGGCGGCGUGCCUAAUACAUGCAAGUCGAGCGAACAGACGAGGAGCUUGCUCCUCUGACGUUAGCGGCGGACGGGUGAGUAACACGUGGAUAACCUACCUAUAAGACUGGGAUAACUUCGGGAAACCGGAGCUAAUACCGGAUAAUAUAUUGAACCGCAUGGUUCAAUAGUGAAAGACGGUUUUGCUGUCACUUAUAGCUGGAUCCGCGCCGCAUUAGCUAGUUGGUAAGGUAACGGCUUACCAAGGCGACGAUGCGUAGCCGACCUGAGAGGGUGAUCGGCCUCACUGGAACGGAGACACGGUCCAGACUCCUACGGGAGGCAGCAGUAGGGAAUCUUCCGCAAUGGGCGAAAGCCUGACGGAGCAACGCCGCGUGAGUGAUGAAGGUCUUCGGAUCGUAAAACUCUGUUAUUAGGGAAGAACAAAUGUGUAAGUAACUAUGCACGUCUUGACGGUACCUAAUCAGAAAGCCACGGCUAACUACGUG
rnacentral:rRNA from 1 species